rnacentral:rRNA from 1 species
GACAGAGGGUGCAAACGUUGUUCGGAAUUACUGGGCGUAAAGCGAGUGUAGGCGGUUCGAUAAGUCGGAUGUGAAAGCCCCGGGCUCAACCCGGGAAGUGCACUCGAUACUGUCGAGCUAGAGUAUCGGAGAGGUUGGUGGAAUUCUCGGUGUAGAGGUGAAAUUCGUAGAUAUCGAGAGGAACACUGGUGGCGAAGGCGGCCAACUGGACGAAUACUGACGCUGAGACUCGAAAGCGUGGGGAGCAAACAGG